AUGAUGUCACAGGCUCAGCUCAUCUGGCUGCUAGUGCUCUGGAUCCAGGACUCCAGCGGGGACAUUGUGCUGACUCAGACUCCAGAAUCCCUGGCAGUGUCUCCUGGAGACACAGUCACUAUCCGCUGCAAAGCCAGUUCAAGCCUCACCAGUGGUAGCACUCACUACUUAGCCUGGUACCAACAGAAAUCAGGACAAGCUCCGAAGCUCCUUAUCUAUCGUGCUUCUACCUUGCAAUCCGGGGUCCCAACCCGGUUCAGCGGCAGUGGAUCUGGCACCGAUUACACACUCACAAUCAACAGAGUUGAAGCUGAAGAUGUUGGAGAUUAUUAUUGUCAACAGCAUUAUGAUACCCCUCUCACA